rnacentral:rRNA from 1 species
GCUCAACCGAAGAAGUGCAUUGGAAACUGGGAGACUUGAGUGCAGAAGAGGACAGUGGAACUCCAUGUGUAGCGGUGAAAUGCGUAGAUAUAUGGAAGAACACCAGUGGCGAAGGCGGCUGUCUGGUCUGCAACUGACGCUGAGGCUCGAAAGCAUGGGUAGCGAACAGGAUUAGAUACCCUGGUAGUCCAUGCCGUAAACGAUGAUUACUAAGUGUUGGAGGGUUUCCGCCCUUCAGUGCUGCAGCUAACGCAUUAAGUAAUCCGCCUGGGGAGUACGACCGCAAGGUUGAAACUCAAAAGAAUUGACGGGGGCCCGCACAAGCGGUGGAGCAUGUGGUUUAAUUCGAAGCUACGCGAAGAACCUUACCAGGUCUUGACAUCUUCUGACAGUCUAAGAGAUUAGAGGUUCCCUUCGGGGACAGAAUGACAGGUGGUGCAUGGUUGUCGUCAGCUCGUGUCGUGAGAUGUUGGGUUAAGUCCCGCAACGAGCGCAACCCUUAUUACUAGUUGCCAGCAUUAAGUUGGGCACUCUAGUGAGACUGCCGGUGACAAACCGGAGGAAGGUGGGGACGACGUCAAAUCAUCAUGCCCCUUAUGACCUGGGCUACACACGUGCUACAACGGAUGGUACAACG